AUUGAACGCUGGCGGCAGGCUUAACACAUGCAAGUCGAGCGGGGAAAGGUAGCUUGCUACCUGACCUAGCGGCGGACGGGUGAGUAAUGCUUAGGAAUCUGCCUAUUAGUGGGGGACAACAUCUCGAAAGGGAUGCUAAUACCGCAUACGUCCUACGGGAGAAAGCAGGGGACCUUCGGGCCUUGCGCUAAUAGACGAGCCUAAGUCGGAUUAGCUAGUUGGUGGGGUAAAGGCCUACCAAGGCGACGAUCUGUAGCGGGUCUGAGAGGAUGUUCCGCCACACUGGGACUAAGACACGGCCCAGACUCCUACGGGAGGCAGCAGUGGGGAAUAUUGGACAAUGGGGGGAACCCUGAUCCAGCCAUGCCGCGUGUGUGAAGAAGGCCUUAUGGUUGUAAAGCACUUUAAGCGAGGAGGAGGCUCUUUUGGUUAAUACCCAAGAUGAGUGGACGUUACUCGCAGAAUAAGCACCGGCUAACUCUGUGCCAGCAGCCGCAGUAAUAC
rnacentral:rRNA from 1 species